rnacentral:rRNA from 1 species
UGGGGAAUAUUGGACAAUGCGGGAAACCGUGAUCCCGCAAUGCCGCGUGAGUGAUGAAGGCCUUAGGGUUUUAAAGCUCUUUUACCAGGGAUGAUAAUGACAGUACCUGGAGAAUAAGCUCCGGCUAACUCCGUGCCAGCAGCCGCGGUAAUACGGAGGGAGCUAGCGUUGUUCGGAAUUACUGGGCGUAAAGCGCGCGUAGGCAGCUAUCCAAGUCAGGGGUGAAAUACCGGGGCUCAACCCCGGAUCUGCGCUUGAAACUAGGUAGCUAGAAUACUGGAGAGGUGAGUGGAAUUCCGAGUGUAGAGGUGAAAUUCGUAGAUAUUCGGAAGAACACCAGUGGCGAAGGCGACUAACUGGACAGUUAUUGACGCUGAGGUGCGAAAGCGUGGGGAGCAAACAGGAUUAGAUACCCGUGUAGUCC